rnacentral:rRNA from 1 species
GAUGAACGCUGGCGGCGUGCCUAACACAUGCAAGUCGAACGGAGUUACUUUGGUGAAGUUUUCGGACGGAUCUGAUUUAACUUAGUGGCGGACGGGUGAGUAAUGCGUGAGCAACCUGCCCUUCAGAGGGGGACAACAGUUGGAAACGACUGCUAAUACCGCAUAAGCACACAGUACCGCAUGGUACGGGGUGAAAAGAUUUAUCGCUGUAAGAUGGACCCGNGUCUGAUUAGCUAGUUGGUGGGUAACGGCCUACCAAGGCGACGAUCAGUAGCCGACCUGAGAGGGUGACCGGCCACAUUGGGACUGAGACACGGCCCAAACUCCUACGGAGGCAGCAGUGGGGAAUAUUGCACAAUGGGCGAAAGCCUGAUGCAGCGACGCCGCGUGAGCGAAGAAGUAUUCGGUAUGUAAAGCUCUAUCAGCAGGGAGAAAAAAUGACGGUACCUGACUAAGAAGCACCGGCUAAAUACGUAG